rnacentral:rRNA from 1 species
CCUGACGCAGCGACGCCGCGUGAGUGAAGAAGGCCUUCGGGUUGUAAAGCUCUGUCAGAUGGGAAUAAGUUCAUUCGUGUUAAUAGCACGGGUGUUUGAAGGUACCGUCAAAGGAAGCACCGGCUAACUCCGUGCCAGCAGCCGCGGUAAUACGGAGGGUGCAAGCGUUGUUCGGAAUCACUGGGCGUAAAGGGCACGCAGGCGGCUCAUCAAGUCAGGUGUGAAAAUCCAGGGCUCAACCCUGGACGUGCAUCUGAAACUGGUGGGCUUGAGUAUGGGAGAGGAAAGUGGAAUUCCCGGUGUAGAGGUGAAAUUCGUAGAUAUCGAGGGGAAUACCCGAGGCGAAGGCGACUUCCUGGACCAAUACUGACGCUGAGGUGCGAAAGCGUGGGUAGCGAACAGGAUUAGAUACCCUGGUAGUCCACAGCUGUAAACGAUGUGCACUAGAUGUUAGAGGAGUUGACCCCUUCAGUGUCGAAGCUAACGCGAUAAGUGCACCGCCUGGGGAGUACGGCCGCAAGGUUAAAACUCAAAGGAAUUGACGG